GAGACUGCCUGGGUUAACCAGGAGGAAGGCGAGGAUGACGUCAAGUCAGCAUGGCCCUUAUGCCCAGGGCUACACACGUGCUACAAUGGCCAGUACAGAAGGUAGCAAUAUCGUGAGAUGGAGCAAAUCCUCAAAGCUGGCCCCAGUUCGGAUUGUAGUCUGCAACUCGACUACAUGAAGUCGGAAUUGCUAGUAAUGGCGUGUCAGCUAUAACGCCGUGAAUACGUUCCCGGGCCUUGUACACACCGCCCGUCACAUCAUGGGAGUUGGUUUUGCCUUAAGUCGUUGACUCAACCUGCAAAGGAGAGAGGCGCCCAAGGUGAGGCUGAUGACUGGGAUGAAGUCGUAACAAGGUAGCCCUACCGGAAGGUGGGGCUGGAUCACC
rnacentral:rRNA from 1 species